GUGUGUGUGUGUGUGUGUGUGUGUGUGUGUGUGUGUGUGUGUGUGUGUGUGUGUGUGUGUGUGUGUGUGUGUGUGUGUGUGUGUGUGUGUGUGUGUGUGUUUUUGUGUUUUUGUGUGUGUGUGUGUGUGUGUGUGCGUGCGUGCGUGCGUGCGUGCGUGCGUGCGUGCGUGUGUGUCAAGCUGCUUUUUUGCAGAACCCCUGCUUGAAAGGGGCACCACAUAAGGAAUGGGUAGUUGGAUUUCAUUGACCACAAAAUUCCUUUCCUUUUCAAUUUAAUUUUAUUUUGAAUCUUCCCACUCAUCAGUUAGUUAGUCAGGUCGAAUAGCCAAAUAUGACAAAUAAUUAGGUAAAAAACCUUGAGCAAAUAAAUACAUGAACUCUUACUGUGCAUAAAUUAAUUUAAUUCAAUUUAAUUUUAUUUAUAUAGCACCAAAUCACAAUAAGAUUAUCUCAAGGCACUUUACAAGGUAAGGUUUAGUACCUUACAUAACUAAACCUAAUGAAUCCCACAUUCAGCAAGCCUUUAAUUGUAAUAAUUACAAUUUAACACCAUCAGUGGAGAGAAAAAACUCCCUCUCUAACGAGGAAGAAACCUCCAGCAGAACCAGGCUGAAUGUGGGCGGCCAACUGCCUCGACCAGUUGGGGUGAGGGGAGAGAGAGAGAGAGAGAAAAGCACAACAACAACAAAUAAGCAACAACAGACCACAGGCAGGAUGGUUGAACCAGGGACUGGAUACGGGCAGGGUGGUUCGAUUCGCAGCUGCCCAUCACACUAAUAGCUCUGAGUUCAAUGAUACCUGUAGGUGACGACAGAGUGGGAGAAAGAGAGGGGGGGGAAGCACAAUUACUGGAAAGAAAGAGAUAAGGUUAGUUAAACAUGGGAGGUUAUUGGAUAGAAGAGUUAGAAGGAAACACAGGAGCUCAGUGUAUAAAUUAAGUCCCCCAGCAGUCUAUGUCUAUUGCAGCUUAACUAAGAGAUGGUUCCUGUGACUAACAAUCAUAGCCAGUGACCUGGACCAUCUCUAACUAUAAGCUUUAUCAAAAAGGAAGGUUUUAAGACUAAUCUUAAAGGUGGAGAGUGUGUCAGCUUCUCAAACCUGAAGAGGGAGCUGGUUCCAGCGGAGAGGAGUUUGGUAGCUAAAAGCUCUGCCUCCUGUUCUACAUUUAAAGACUCUAGAAACCACAAGUAGCCCAGCGCUCUGAGAACAAAGCGUUCUGCUGGGAGCAUAAGGAACUAUGAGGUCUUUAAGAUAAGAAGAAGCUUUAUCAUUAAGUGCUUUGUAGGUGGGUGAUUUGCUGGCAUCAGCGGUGUGUAUUGCAGUAUUACUGAAUUUAAGUGAUACUUCAGACUCAACGUACUCCGUUGAUUCAGUUCACUGAGUUGCUGCAGCAGUCUUAGGUCUCGCCCCCAAAGGCUCUGAUUGGUUGAGAAGCGUACAGUAUCUCAGGCCAGUACUGGUCAACAGCUUGCUCCUCCGGAAGGGACUUUCCAAAUAUUAAUAACGGAAAUAAACUGCGUUUAUGCGCAUUGUCAGCAUUAACACAAAGCGUACAUACAUUAAGACCACUAGCGGCAACACACAAGAGCGGACACACAGUAAAGUACUUGUCGCUAUCCAAAGAUUAAAGUUAUUAAGAAUGGCGGUUGACGCCAAACGUGGCGGUUGAACUGAUUGGAACAUAUUUCCUUGCCAGCUGCCUCUCCAUGCUUCCUCAUCAUCGUGUGUAUUUACUUGCUAUUCUUAUUACGUAUGAUCAUCAUUUGAAUUAACCCAUCUCCUGUAACAUA